GGCUCCUGGCAGGGUCAUCCCUGCAUGGCAGAGCUCGCUUGGAUGUGACCCCUGGUCCCAGAGGCUCCCGCUUGCCAGGUCCUGGGUCAUGUCGGAGGCAGAGUCAAGUAAGGCGAGGAUUGAGAGGCAGGUUGAAUUUCCGGGAUGCUGCACCAGAGGACGCAGAGCACAGUCGGACCGCUCGUUGGACAGCGGGGGUCUCAUUGAGCCACUCGGGGCUGCAGAGCCCCAGCAGGAGCUUCAGUGCCCUGUUUACUGGAACCUUCCAUGGCUCCGCCCCCUCUUCAGGGUCUUGGCCUGGUCGGUGGGUGCUGCCCAGCAGGACCUCGUAUGGCACAGGGUGCCUCACCAGACAGGAAGAUACCAGGUCUUUGGACAAAACCUGAGGGUUUUAAAGGCACGUUCUUCACGUAUGCCAGAAAGGAAGGAAAGAAGAAAGCAAAAAAAUGUGUGUUUCGGUUUUAUGAAGAUCUGUAUCUCCGCGGGAUGGGUGCCAGCGGGCCAGCCUGUCUGUGGGGACCAUCAGGGCCGUGGGGUGGAGAGGGGUCUGUCAGUGCUGGGGUGCUGGAGUCCCUUGGCACACGGGGCCCCUCCACGUGAUGAGGACAACGGGUCGCAGAGCAUAGGCCCCUCCGCAUGACAAGGACACCGGGUCGCAGAGCACAGGCCCCUCCGCAUGACAAGGACACCGGGUCGCAGAGCACAGGCCCCUCCGCAUGACGACGACACCGGGUCACAGAGCACAGGCAGGUCUGCUUGGCCCUUGUUCUGAACCUAGCUUUGCACGUCCUUGUCCUUGCGAGGCUUCUCUCUAUGAGACCGCCUCCCUCUCGUCAACCUGGGGCUCAGCCUUCUGGCCGUCAGGCUGUGCCUCCCAUCCCCCCCCCCCCAAAGCCAUCCCUGCACCCGGCCAUGUGGGCGGCGGUGUCUCCAGCUCCUCUCAUUUGCAAAAUACCUUCACGAUGACGGCCUUACUUCCCACGGUCGUGGGAGGCACAGUCAGGGUCUCUUUGCCCCUCGCCCCAUGACAGCUGCUGGCAGCUCCUGUGGCACAGGUGGAGCUGUGAGGCCGAAGCCCGUGGACAAGGGGUGCAGCGGCUCCAGAGCAGUGCCCAGGGACGCCCAGGACGGGGCUGGGAGGAGUGCCUGUGGCCGGUUGGAGGCCUUCCUGUGGUCGCCCUCGCCAUCCGGAGCUGGUGCACUUGUUGCUGCCAGGAACACGGCUUUGAGGAGUUUUCCCUGUGGACCUCCUGCCAGCAGGGUCCAUGUGGAAACCCUGGAUCCCCGGGUGCCGGACAGGUCCCUCCCCACUGUCUGCAGAGUGCUUGGCUGUCUGUGCUGGAGCCACGUGUGUGCGGGCCUCCCGCCUGCCUGUCUGUCCCCAAGCUCACUCUUCAGCCCGGCCAUGGCAUGGCUGACGUGUCCUGCCCAUGGGAUGCAGUCUUUCCCCCAUGUCUCCUCACUCCCGACCACAGGCCGUAGUCUGGGUUUGAUAGUUCAUCUGUCGGUGAUGUUUGGGGUCAUGCAUCUGAGAUGAUACCGUGGCUCAGCUGUUCUGACACGUGAAGGCCUUGCUUGUGUUUGCUGCUAGGAACAAGCCCGUGUCGCUCGGGCAUCGGGGGCAGACGGCAGGGCUGGCGAGGCCCCUCCUCUGGUCAGCAUUGCCUGGCGUUGGGAACCUCAUCAGCCAUGGGAGCUCGGUUCCUCACCCUCGAGAUGAGGCCGAGAGCCGUGGUCGGUCACUCUCGACAUGUGGGCCGCUAAGGAACAUGGUCAAGGGCCCCUCUCCUGAGGGCUGCAGAGGGCCCCACAUGCCCUGGUGUCCUCACCAGAGCCUGGAACCUGCACGUGCUACCUCGCGGGAGACGAGAGGGAAAUGUGAGACAGAGGAGGAUGCGCAAACCAGUAGUAACAUGAAGACAGGCAGAGACUGGGGCCACAGCCCAUCCCUGGACCCCUCGGGGGGGCCGGUUGGUCUCACCCGGAGAGGGCAAGUGUCCCCGCUGCCCUGGGGCAGUGGCACAGGCCUCGGGUGUCAGUAUGUCCACGAGGGCCUCACAGAGCAGGUGGGCACCCCAGGACUGCCUUCACCUCAACAGAGUCCUUGGUCCGCGCCCCUGACCUCUGACAGUCGAGACCGCCUGCUUCCCAGCCGCCCCCCUCGCCCAAGUGGUUGCUUUCGGAGCAGGCAGGGGCGGCAGCUAAAACCGGAUGACAGCUCUUGCCUCCCUCCCUCCCACACUCGAGAAUGCCUCUCAGGCAAGAGACGUGAAGUCAGCGCCUCCCCCGACCGUUCUGUCCCAGAACCGCCCGGCACACUGUCCUCGGUUCCCCUCCAGGGGUGGUGGCUCGGUGCCGAGGGCCGGGGGCCGGGGCCAGGGGGAGGGUCUGGGGGUGGAGGGUUGAGAUGCACCCCAGGGGGGUGGUCCAUCAGCUGACCCUCUAGCCAUUCAGGUUGGCUCAGCAGGUGCAGGGUGUUCUGGGGCCCGUGUCUGCUCGGGGGACACGGGGGUGAGCAUGUGUACAUGCUGUGCCUCCGCGUGCUUGAUGACUGACUUAGGUCCUUAAGUUCAGUUCUCAGAAGCAGAGUUGCAGGCUGACUGUGGUCCUUGGCCGUUUGCCAGGGGCUCCCCCCCUGCGCUGUUUCUGUGGUGACCUGGGUCCCUGUGUGUCCUGACUGCUGGUCCCCCUGCACUCCUUUCUCUCUCUCUCUCCCUCUGCUGGUGGGGAUGUGGGUUUCUCAGGAAGGGCCUUCCCGUUGCUGUUUCCUCACUGGUGGCCACCAGUGUCACAGAGAGCGUAUCCUUCUUCCUCCCAAAUGCAGGUUAAAUAACGUUAGCAUUUUGGCGUAUGCCGGAAGCCUGAAAACCAGUCGCCAGAAUGAAAUGCAGGCCCUUGGCUUUCAGCACUCUCAUCUCCCAGGGUCCUGGGAGUUUCUUGGGACAAUCAGCACCUUGGCACCACCACAGGUGUCCCUGAGCCCCAGCAGGGAGUGGGGGCGGGGGGCCAGGGCAGUAGGGAUGUGCUGACAGGACCGGUGGGCCGUGCUCCCAGGGGACCCAGAUACCGUCCCUCUAUUCCGCAGAGACCCUGCUCGGCACCACCUGGCUGCCCUGUGCUUUCAGCACGUGGGUCCUCCCACCUCCCCCACACCUGCACCACACACUGUGGCCCUGUCCUGUUUGGCCCACGUGGUGCUUUGAUUUGUAAGCUUAAAAAACUUGUGGACAACAUGGAACACCAGGAGAUUGCCCAUCAUGGCACCGCCUCCAGCAGGUUCUAGAUGUGGAUCCCGUCCCUCAUGGUGCGCCUCCGGCAGGUUCUGGAAGUUCUGGAUGUGGAUCCCCAUCCCCUCACAGAAGCGCCUGCAGAGGGCAACUUCCUGUCAUCUGUCCUGGGCUUGACGCGCCUCUGCGGAGCCCUGUCCACAGCUUUCAUGGAUGCCUCCCCAGCCUGCACUGUCCAGAGGUCACCUCAGCAGGCACUUGGCCGCCUGCUUGGACACGGCUCUGCCAUGGAGGGGGUGGGGGAGGCAGAGGUGGUGACUCACCCGCACAGGUUGUGGGCGUUAUGAGCUCGUUCAUGUGGAGCUUGAAGUUUCUGUGAGGACAUUUCAGGAAGCUGGUUCUGGGUCUGGGACCCAGUCUGUACAGGAUCCUGGAGGGAGGCCAGGUAAGGGGGGGCAUGUUACCAGGUGGCAGUGAGCUUGCCGGCCUGUCAAGCCAGGAGACUGAACACCAGCGUAGUUGGGGACGGGAGUGAGUGGGGGCCUUUGAAACACUGGGCGUCCAGGAGGAAGCUGUCGUGGAGGAGGAGGCCCCUGCCACCAGUGUGGGGAAGAUGGGGUCAAGGAGGAAUGCACAGAGCAUGUGGCUGCAUGAUGUCUGUGCCUAAACGGGGGACAUGCUAGGAGGGCACAGCGUCACCUUUGCUGUGUCCUGUUGGGGACGCUUCUCUGAGUUUAAUCAGGAGGAAACACCAGACAAACCCCGAAUGAAGAAUGGUCUUUAGGAGAGGCCGUGGAAUGUUCCAGUUGAGUGGGGACAGGACCCCAGCGCACAUCCCGUGCUGGAGGGAAGGUGAGCUGCGGUUCUAGUAGAGGAAGGAGGCCCUCAUGGAAAUAUCAGGGGUCAAGGGUCAAGGUGGUUCAGAAAAAAUCCUGGAGUUUGCUGUGUGUUACGCAUGUCCUUAAACAGAGAGGGUUCGUGUGCAGACUCGUGAUGAUAAAGCAUGUUGCUGGGAGGUCCGGGGAAAAGCGCACGGACGUGUUUGGAAUUACUGCAAGUAAAAUGUUCAAAAAACCACGAUGGCAGAGAAACUUGAGAACAGGUGCUUGCACCCUCGGUCGUCAAGGACUCGUGACCCGGAGCUGCUGGCUGUGUGGCUGUGUGUUUGUCGGGGCUCAGGACGUACCCCCAGACCGCGUCUCCACAAACCUGAUUUUUAGGAAAGUAACAAUGUUACAGUGAAAAAUCAAAACCCCACGUUGAGCCAUCAGGCUCCUUUAGACCAGGGCCUCGA